rnacentral:RNase_P_RNA from 1 species
UGGGUAGAUUGGGCGACCGCUGAUCUGAGCUCGCUUGGGUUAGAGGAAAGUCCGAGCUCCACUGGGCAAGAUGCUGGGUAACACCCAGGCGGGGUAACUCGAUAGAAAGUGCCACAGAAACACACCGCCUGUUACACAUUUUGUGUUAUAGGUAAGGUUGAAAUCGUGAGGUAAGAGCUCACGGCUCCGGCGGUGACGCUAGGAGUGGGUAAACCUCAUCGGGAGCAAGGCCUAAUAGAGGGACUUAAGUGCCCAGAUAGUCCCUGGGUUGGCCGCUUGAGUUUGUAGGUAACUGCAGACCUAGAUAGAUGGUCGCCGUUCACUAAGUAUGGAGGUUUUUACAUCCUUAGCUAGUGAAUACAGAACUCGGCUUACAAAUCUACCCAGUCU